rnacentral:rRNA from 1 species
AUUGAACGCUGGCGGAAUGCUUUACACAUGCAAGUCGAGCGGCAGCGCGGGGCAACCUGGCGGCGAGCGGCGAACGGGUGAGUAAUGCAUCGGAACAUGUCCAUUUGUGGGGGAUAGCCCGGCGAAAGCCGGAUUAAUACCGCAUACGCCCUGAGGGGGAAAGCGGGGGACGUUCGCAAGAGGCCUCGCGCGAAUGGGUUGGCCGAUGUCCGAUUAGCUAGNGGUGAGGUAACGGCUCACCAAGGCUUCGACGGGUAGCUGGUCUGAGAGGACGAUCAGCCACACUGGCACUGCGACACGGGCCAGACUCCUACGGGAGGCAGCAGUAAGGAAUAUUGCGCAAUGGGCGAAAGCCUGACGCAGCGACGCCGC